rnacentral:lncRNA from 1 species
GGGAACUUCAACCCAAUGUAAUGCGGAAUAUGUUCCAACUCGUCAACACGAUCGGCUGCAGGGGAAGUUACUUUCUGCAUUGUUCGGCUUAUAUAACAAUAUCGAAUUAAAUGAAUCUAAGAAACGCUUUUCCAGGCAGUUUGAAUGUAUAUUCUUAUUCUGUGCAGAAUCUGUGUAUGUUGACCUACAACACAAAUGAGCAUCAUGACUUCAACAAAGUAGGCAACUUGGAACGUACCCGAUCCUCCCAAGCGAUCAUACUCUUUCCCGGGGUCCCGCCACCAUUAUAAUCUAGCCUGAAGCAGAUGUGGGUGAACAAGCAAACAACUCGGACUAAAAGAUAAUGGUGG